rnacentral:sRNA from 1 species
UUUUUGGAGUCAAAUAUGACUAGAUGUCAUGUGUAUGAUUGAGUAUAAGAACUAGAACCGCAACCGAUUCCCAAAACCUAAAGU